CAAGAGGGCAAUACAGAAGCCACCGGGCUCCCACCUUCGGUGCUGAUUUUUCUCAGCCUCUGAAGUGAACAGAGCUACAAUCUCCUGUGCAAUCUCGAGGGCAGGUGUGUUUCAGAUUUCAGAAGAUUUGCAGGUUCCUCGGAAGGCGAUGUGGUUCAGCACUUCAAACCAGGAUGGGAAGUGUCACAGGACAUGCUACCUCACGCUUUGGCUGGAAUGGAUGGAGUAACAUUGGCUUCUGCAGUCCCCAACAUAAGCCAAGCAUCACAGCAUCCAGGGGAGACUUCGUUUCCUUCAGUCAAGCUGCCCCGAUGGCAGAAGAAAGACAGCCAACACAAACGUACCAAUUCCAGAAGGAAGCACUCACAGUAACCGCCUCCCUCAAACCACAGAGUGUUAUUAAACUCGGGUCACAAGGAAAGAGAGCGAUGGCAGACACGUUCAGUGUCUUAAGCCCACUCAGCAGUGGAAGCAGCGUCAGCCCAUGCUGCAAAGACUUUUAACUCCUUGUUGUAGGUACCAGGCCUCACAGGAGGGCUCCUGAUUGAUUCAUGAUGCUAGGAAGAUGGCUUCAGGGUAAGGUGCAAACUCAUGGCUGCCUAGAGCAACUUGACUCCAAUACAAGGAAGAACCAUCCUGAGGAGGAAAAAAAUGAGAUGCUGGCAAGCAGAGAAGCAAAGACAAGCAGAGAUAAAUCAGGUUUCAACACAGGACCACACACGUCUCAGCACACUGCUGCCUUCGCCCAGCCCUGCCCACUCACUUCUUUCUCCUUAUUUCCCAACCAUGCCACAGAGAGUGAACUCCAGGCUUAAGGAACAGCUUAGGGGCAGGGCACACUACCAUCAAUGUAAGACUGGAUUCAGGUUCCACCCUUAGCUCUGGGGAAAACUUGGACAAACUCCAUGGCUGAGUAAAUUAAGCCAGUAAGGUCCAAGUGCAUGCUGUUGCCAUUGGCUUGAAGGGCAUCCAGCUUGUCCUGUGAAUUUGCUUUUCCAGAACUGUACAACCAAUGAGAGGCUCCUAAAAUUUAACCAGUUGGUUUGAGCUGUCUUUUGUUAAACUGCUUUUGUGUAUAUGAAACCAUUGACCGCUUUUUUUUUAAACAACCUGUUUAUUUUAUGUA